rnacentral:lncRNA from 1 species
GGAGCCAUUAGUUGCCUUUCAAGGCAGAACAACUUCUAAAAAACACUGAAAUUUGAUCAGCCUUUUGCUGCAAUCCCCAGAGAAAAAACCCCUCCUCAUGCCAUUACAUGCUCCAUUGUUCUUAACAUGACAGCUUCCAUAAAAACAGUAGUAAACACUUAAAAUAAAGAGUAGGAUCUCAUGUCUUUUAAACAGUGAAUUAACUUUAAACAAUGGUCAGGUGAUCCACCUGUUAUGAAAUAAGCAAUUGGAAACCCCCGUUCCUGAGGAACAAAAAAGAAAAAUAAUAAUGAUUGAGUGCUAAUGAUAAUCUGGAUACUCCUACAAUUAAGAGGAAGGAUAUUUGAGCCUUUGGGCACUGACCUAACGGCAAAUUUUGUGCAUUUUCACAGGGAUCUGUUUGUAUUCUGCUUCUGUGUGGUUUUUUGAUGCUGCAGAUCCCUCUGAACCAGCGGGUGAAAUACAGACAACAACUUGGGCUGCCCCAGGAUGAACAACUGCACAUCACAGCCCUGAGGCUGCGCCUGCAGCCAGGAUAAUCUCCAGUGAUUACUUUUUCCUGGUGCAUUUCCCGUUGGGCUGUCCAGAGGCUGUGGCAGAUGCAGGAGUAAAUAGGUUGGCCAUAUACUUAAUAAUAUUACUGCAAUUCUGGCACAGCUCUGUGAAGGAAGGAGCUCCAGUGAGACAGCGCAGAAAGGAAGUAAUUAACAAAAAAUGUUUAUAUCUGUAUAGCUUACUACAAAACAUGAAGAAAAAAAUCCCCUACCAUAAGGAUUAUGAGGUUUAAGGAUAUGAACAGG